rnacentral:rRNA from 1 species
GACGAACGCUGGCGGCGGGCUUAACACAUGCAAGUCGAACGGAAGGGCCCUGCUUUUGUGGGGUGCUCGAGUGGCGAACGGGUGAGUAACACGUGAGUAACCUGCCCUGGACGUUGGGAUAACUUCAGGAAACUGGGGCUAAUACCGGAUAGGAGCGCCUGCUGCAUGGUGGGGGUUGGAAAGUUUCGGCGGUUGGGGAUGGACUCGCGGCUUAUCAGCUUGUUGGUGGGGUAGUGGCUUACCAAGGCUUUGACGGGUAGCCGGCCUGAGAGGGUGACCGGCCACCUUGGGACUGAGAUACGGCCCAGACUCCUACGGGAGGCAGCAGUGGGGAAUAUUGCACAAUGGGCGGACGCCUGAUGCAGAAACGCUGCGUGCGGGAUGACGGCCUUCGGGUUGUAAACCGCUUUCGCCUGUGACGAAGCGUGAGUGACGGUAAUGGGUAAAGAAGCACCGGCUAACUACGUG